rnacentral:rRNA from 1 species
UACGUAGGGUGCGAGCGUUAAUCGGAAUUACUGGGCGUAAAGCGUGCGUAGGCGGUUUGCCGUGUCCUGUGUGAAAGCCCCGGGCUCAACCUGGGAAUUGCAUGGGAAACUGGCAGGCUUGAGUGUGGCAGAGGAGGGUGGAAUUCCGCGUGUAGCAGUGAAAUGCGUAGAGAUGCGGAGGAACACCGAUGGCGAAGGCAGCCCUCUGGGCCAACACUGACGCUGAAGCACGAAAGCGUGGGGAGCAAACAGG